AGCGAACGCUGGCGGCAGGCUUUACACAUGCGAGUCGAGCGGGCCCUUCGGGGUCAGCGGCAGACGGGUGAGUAACACGUGGGAACGUACCCUUUGGUUCGGAAUAACGCUGGGAAACUAGCGCUAAUACCGGAUACGCCCUUUUGGGGAAAGGCUUGCUGCCGAAGGAUCGGCCCGCGUCUGAUUAGCUAGUUGGUGGGGUAAUGGCCUACCAAGGCGACGAUCAGUAGCUGGUCUGAGAGGAUGAUCAGCCACACUGGGACUGAGACACGGCCCAGACUCCUACGGGAGGCAGCAGUGGGGAAUAUUGGACAAUGGGCGCAAGCCUGAUCCAGCCAUGCCGCGUGAGUGAUGAAGGCCUUAGGGUUGUAAAGCUCUUUUGUCCGGGACGAUAAUGACGGUACCGGAAGAAUAAGCCCCGGCUAACUUCGUG
rnacentral:rRNA from 1 species